rnacentral:lncRNA from 1 species
CGGAGAGGCAGACAGCGGCGGCGAGGCGCGCAGCGGCGGCGCAGGCGCGGAGAGGCGCUGGCGCCGGCUCUGGCGCGGAGAGGUGCAGGCCCAGGCUCCACUCCCCAGCUGUGAAAGGGUUUUCUGCCUCCUGCUAAGCCAAUUUAUACAUUCCAAGAAAAUCUUCCAUUUCAUCCAGGUGAAACGGAACCUACUGGAAUGAAGCUGGCCUCCCAUGGAAUGAAGCUGGCCUCCCGUCUCCUUGAUUUGAAGCAGCUUCUCCACGUUGGUUAUUAUGCCAUUUUUCUAAAUCUAACAUUUUAAAAUUUGUGCCUUUUCUUUCUCUUUUGCUUGACUUCUCAGAGGUUUUUUUAACGGUCUUUUCAAAGAAGUGGUUUUGGGUUUUAUUUAUCAAGUCUACUUUUAUUAUGGCUGUUUUAAAAUUAAAUACAUUUAUUUCUUGUUUCCCUUA